rnacentral:ncRNA from 1 species
AGAUUAUUGAUCACGUGCCAGCGGCGGAGAGAACAGUCAGAUCGUAAAGACGCCGUAUUCCCUUUGAAAGAAUAAGCGUCCCUGGAGGCUCGAGCCGCGCCAUCCCUGGCGCGGA